UAGGGAAUCUUCGGCAAUGGACGAAAGUCUGACCGAGCAACGCCGCGUGAGUGAAGAAGGUUUUCGGAUCGUAAAACUCUGUUGUUAGAGAAGAACAAGGACGUUAGUAACUGAACGUCCCCUGACGGUAUCUAACCAGAAAGCCACGGCUAACUACGUGCCAGCAGCCGCGGUAAUACGUAGGUGGCAAGCGUUGUCCGGAUUUAUUGGGCGUAAAGCGAGCGCAGGCGGUUUCUUAAGUCGGAUGUGAAAGCCCCCGGCUCAACCGGGGAGGGUCAUUGGAAACUGGGAGACGUGAGUGCAGAAGAGGAGAGUGGAAUUCCAUGUGGAGCGGUGAAAUGCGUAGAUAUAUGGAGGAACACCAGUGGCGAAGGCGGCUCUCUGGUCUGUAACUGACGCUGAGGCUCGAAAGCGUGGGGAGCAAACAGG
rnacentral:rRNA from 1 species